rnacentral:tmRNA from 1 species
GGGGAUGUUUUUGGAUUCGACGGGUAUAGGUCGAGUUCUAAUUGCGUUUGAAGGUGGCGCUUCUAAAAACGCUCAGUUUUAAAUUAUAACUGCAAACAAUAAUUCACAAUCAUACGCCCUCGCUGCCUAACCGGUAAGCGGACGUAAAUCCGAACCGGGCUCGUCCAUGGUGCGGUUUCGGGUUUCAUUAAUUAGUGGACUACGUUGUUAGCCUCAGCUGGUGGUUAGCAAAAGAGAUUUCCCAGCUCGCUUAGCAUGCUUGCCUUGAUUAGCGGCGUUUUGGUAGGUUAAAUUUUAAAUAGUUAAUCUAUGAGCGUAGAUGUUAGGAUGGCGAUAUGCUCGGACAGGGGUUCGACUCCCCUCAUCUCCAU